rnacentral:rRNA from 1 species
UGGGGAAUAUUGGACAAUGGGCGCAAGCCUGAUCCAGCCAUGCCGCGUGAGUGAUGAAGGCCCUAGGGUUGUAAAGCUCUUUCAGCGAGGAGGAUAAUGACGUUACUCGCAGAAGAAGCCCCGGCUAACUUCGUGCCAGCAGCCGCGGUAAUACGAAGGGGGCUAGCGUUGUUCGGAAUCACUGGGCGUAAAGCGCACGUAGGCGGACUUUUAAGUCAGGGGUGAAAUCCCGGGGCUCAACCUCGGAACUGCCUUUGAUACUGGAAGUCUGGAGUCCGAGAGAGGUGAGUGGAACUCCGAGUGUAGAGGUGAAAUUCGUAGAUAUUCGGAAGAACACCAGUGGCGAAGGCGGCUCACUGGCUCGGUACUGACGCUGAGGUGCGAAAGCGUGGGGAGCAAAACAGGAUUAGAUACCCUGGUAGUCCACGCCGUAAAACGAUGGAAGCUAGCCGUCAGGGUGCAUGCAUCUUGGUGGCGCAGUUAACGCAUUAAGCUUCCCGCCUGGGGAGUACGGUCGCAAGAUUAAAAACUUAAAUGAAUUGAC